rnacentral:tRNA from 1 species
GGUGGCUCAGUGGUAGAGCUCUUGCCUUGCAUGCAUGAGGCCCUGGGUUUGAUUCCUCAGAACCA